GUUUUGAUAGCUUAAAUUAAAGCAUAACAUUGAAGCUGUUAAUAUGAGUUCAUCCUCUCGAAACA
rnacentral:tRNA from 1 species